CGCUGCAAGCUCCGCCUACCAGGUUCACGCCAUUUUCCUGCCUCAGACCCCGGAGUAGUCGCGAUUACAGGCGCCUGUGCAAUCUCUAUGGUAACCACAUUUCCCAGUUGUCUACUACCGGUAAUAAAAUCAAAUGGAUUCAGUGCUCACAACUCUUCAGUCUCUGGGCUACUUUCCAUUCUUGAGUUUUUAGCUGAAUUCAUCUCUUUGGCUGGAUUUUGUGAAUCGGGCAGCCGUUAGAACCAAAACAGUUCUGAGGAACUCCCAGGCUGCCGUGUGGUGUGAAAUGUUUUAUGGACAGAAAAUGGAAAUGAGGUGCAGAAACUGGAGAAACCUUCCAUAAUAAAAACUUGGAUAUAAUGAAAUUUUGCAUAAAUGACAUGUGGCAACCUAAUUUGGUGGAAGCCAGGGAACCUGGGCAGAGAGUUAUAUUUUUCAUCUUCACGUUGAGUAGAGAAUCCAUGAAAAUCUAAUACCCAGUUAUCACUCAAGUGUGACAAAUAGAAAGGAGCUUCAGAAUAGGAUCUUCAGUUCUACCAAAUGUCUCUGCCUAAUUACAUCAAUAUCCAUGUUGGUCGAGGAUUGCUUACUAAUGUUUGAGAAGCAAUAAUGAUAUGGCAAGAGAGAGAUGAAAUUUCAGUCUUUAUUCAAGAUCAAGUGCAACUGUCUCUUUGAGGAAAGUCCUUUGACCCCCAUUUCUCCCCUUCAGAAGGCAAGCACCUGGGGGAGAAGAUCUGUUUAAGGACCUGGUAACUGACAAAGAAUGGAAUGGGAGCGAGAACCGCCUAGCCAUCCCUUCUCCUUGCACAGUCAUGAAACAAAGUUGAAAAGGAGCCCGGUUUUACUUGACCAGUCAUAAAUUACCAUAAAAUAAAAUGAGAUAUUAGGAACCUUUGA